rnacentral:rRNA from 1 species
UACGGAGGGUGCAAGCGUUAUUCGGAAUUACUGGGCGUAAAGGGUGCGUAGGCGGUUCGUUAAGUCUGUCGUGAAAUCCCCGGGCUCAACCUGGGAAUGGCGAUGGAUACUGGCGAGCUAGAGUGUGUCAGAGGAUGGUGGAAUUCCCGGUGUAGCGGUGAAAUGCGUAGAGAUCGGGAGGAACAUCAGUGGCGAAGGCGGCCAUCUGGGACAACACUGACGCUGAAGCACGAAAGCGUGGGGAGCAAACAGG